GACGAGCGCUGGCGGCGUGCCUAAUACAUGCAAGUUGAGCGCUGAAGGUUGGUACUUGUACCAACUGGAUGAGCAGCGAACGGGUGAGUAACGCGUGGGGAAUCUGCCUUUGAGCGGGGGACAACAUUUGGAAACGAAUGCUAAUACCGCAUAAAAACUUUAAACACAAGUUUUAAGUUUGAAAGAUGCAAUUGCAUCACUCAAAGAUGAUCCCGCGUUGUAUUAGCUAGUUGGUGAGGUAAAGGCUCACCAAGGCGAUGAUACAUAGCCGACCUGAGAGGGUGAUCGGCCACAUUGGGACUGAGACACGGCCCAAACUCCUACGGGAGGCAGCAGUAGGGAAUCUUCGGCGAUGGACGAAAGUCUGACCGAGCAACGCCGCGUGAGUGAAGAAGGUUUUCGGAUCGUAAAACUCUGUUGGUAGAGAAGAAAGUUGGUGAGAGUGGAAAGCUCAUCAAGUGACGGUAACUACCCAGAAAGGGACGGCUAACUACGUG
rnacentral:rRNA from 1 species